UACGAAGGGGGCUAGCGUUGCUCGGAAUUACUGGGCGUAAAGCGCACGUAGGCGGGUCGUUAAGUCGGGGGUGAAAUCCUGGAGCUCAACUCCAGAACUGCCUCCGAUACUGGCGACCUCGAGUCCGGGAGAGGUGAGUGGAACUGCGAGUGUAGAGGUGAAAUUCGUAGAUAAUUCGCAAGAACACCAGUGGCGAAGGCGGCUCACUGGCCCGGUACUGACGCUGAGGUGCGAAAGCGUGGGGAGCAAACAGG
rnacentral:rRNA from 1 species